UACGUAGGUGGCAAGGCGUUGUCCGGAUUUACUGGGUGUAAAGGGUGCGCAGGCGGAUCUGUAAGUCAGAGGUGAAAUCUCACAGGCUUAACUGUGAAACUGCCUUUGAUUACUGCAGAUCUUGAGUUCGGGAGAAGGUUGAUUGGAAUUCCAGGUGUAGCGGUGAAAUGCGUAGAUAUCUGGAGGAACACCAGUGGCGAAAGCGGCUGACCUGCCCAUUCUUGACGCUGAGG
rnacentral:rRNA from 1 species